CUACGAGAGGCUGCAGUGAGGAAUAUUGCACAAUGGGGGGAACCCUGAUGCAGCAACGCCGCGUGGAGGAUGACGCAUUUCGGUGUGUAAACUCCUUUUAUAUGUCAAAAAAAUGACGGUAGCAUAUGAAUAAGCACCGGCUAACUCCGUGCCAGCAGCCGCGGUAAUACGGAGGGUGCAAGCGUUACUCGGAAUCACUGGGCGUAAAGGACGCGUAGGCGGGUUGGAAAGUCAGGUGUGAAAUCCUACAGCUUAACUGUAGAACUGCACUUGAAACUUCUAAUCUAGAGUAUGGGAGGGGGAGAUGGAAUUAGUGGUGUAGGGGUAAAAUCCGUAGAUAUCACUAGGAAUACCUAAAGCGAAGGCGAUCUCCUGGAACAUUACUGACGCUAAGGCGUGAAAGCGUGGGGAGCAAACAGGAUUAGAUACCCUCGUAGUC
rnacentral:rRNA from 1 species